GGGUAGGCGCCGGAUGAACGGAUAUCAUUGAUGUUGAUAAGCAUAAAAUUUUAUUUUCCUACCUU
rnacentral:tRNA from 1 species